rnacentral:tRNA from 1 species
CGCGGGGUGGAGCAGUGCGGUAGCUCGUUGGGCUCAUAACCCAAAGGUCGCAGGUUCGAGUCCUGCCCCCGCAACCA